AUUGAACGCUGGCGGCAGGCCUAACACGUGCAAGUCGAACGGUAGCACAGAGAGCUUGCUCUCGGGUGACGAGUGGCGGACGGGUGAGUAACGUCUGGGAAACUGCCCGAUGGAGGGGGAUAACUACUGGAAACGGUAGCUAAUACCGCAUAACGUCGCAAGACCAAAGUGGGGGACCUUCGGGCCUCACACCAUCGGAUGUGCCUAGAUGGGAUUAGCUAGUAGGUGGGGUAAUGGCUCACCUAGGCGACGAUCCCUAGCUGGUCUGAGAGGAUGACCAGCCACACUGGAACUGAGACACGGUCCAGACUCCUACGGGAGGCAGCAGUGGGGAAUAUUGCACAAUGGGCGCAAGCCUGAUGCAGCCAUGCCGCGUGUAUGAAGAAGGCCUUCGGGUUGUAAAGUACCUUCAGCGGGGAGGAAGGCGGUGAAGUUAAUAGCUUCACCGAUUGACGUUACCCGCAGAAGAAGCACCGGCUAACUCCGUGCCAGCAGCCGCAGUAA
rnacentral:rRNA from 1 species